CGCGUAGGCGGAUUGUGCAGUCAGGCGUGAAAUUCCUGGGCUUAACCUGGGGGCUGCGUUUGAUACGCAUAGUCUAGAGUGCGGAAGAGGGUCGUGGAAUUCCCAGUGUAGAGGUGAAAUUCGUAGAUAUUGGGAAGAACACCGGUGGCGAAGGCGGCGACCUGGUCCGUUACUGACGCUGAGGCGCGAAAGCGUGGGGAGCAAACA
rnacentral:rRNA from 1 species